rnacentral:rRNA from 1 species
UACGUAGGGGGCAAGCGUUGUCCGGAAUCAUUGGGCGUAAAGCGCGUGUAGGCGGCUCGAUAAGUCUGCUGUGAAAGUCCAAGGCUCAACCUUGGGAUGCCGGUGGAUACUGUCGAGCUCGAGUCCGGAAGAGGAGUGUGGAAUUCCUGGUGUAGCGGUGAAAUGCGCAGAUAUCAGGAGGAACACCAAUGGCGAAGGCAGCACUCUGGGCCGUAACUGACGCUGAGGAGCGAAAGCGUGGGGAGCGAACAGG